rnacentral:rRNA from 1 species
AUUGAACGCUGGCGGCAGGCCUAACACAUGCAAGUCGAACGAGUGGCGGACGGGAGAGUAAUGUCUGGGAACCUGCCUGAUGGAGGGGGAUACCUACUGGAAACGGUAGCUAAUACCGCAUACCAUCGGAUGUGCCCAGGGGGGAUUAGCUAGUAGGUGGGGUAACGGCGCACCUAGGCGACGAUCCCUAGCUGGUCUGAGAGGGUGACCAGCCACACUGGAACUGAGACACGGUCCAGAAUCCUACGGGAGGCAGCAGUAGGGAAUAUUGCACAAUGGGCGCAAGCCUGAUGCAGCCAUGCCGCGUGUAUGAAGAAGGCCUUCGGGUUGUAAAGUACUGUCAGCAGGGAGGCGUUACCCGCAGAGGAAGCACCGGCUAACUCCGUGCCAGCAGCCGCGGUAAUUC